CCUACGGGAGGCAGCAGUGGGGAAUAUUGCACAAUGGGGGAAACCCUGAUGCAGCGACGCCGCGUGGGUGAAGAAGUAUUUCGGUAUGUAAAGCUCUAUCAGCAGGGAAGAAACUAACGGUACCUGAUUAAGAAGCCCCGGCUAACUACGUGCCAGCCGCCGCGGUAAUACGGAGGGGGCAAGCUGUAUCCGGAGUUAAUGGGUGUAAAGGGAGCGUAGGCCGCCUGUCAAGCGUGGUGUGAAAUGACCGGGCUCAACCCGGGUCUGGCCGUGCGAACUGGCGGGCUUGAGUGCGCGGAAAGCAGGCGGAAUUCGUGGUGUAGCGGUGAAAUGCUUAGAUAUGACGAAGAACACCGAUUGCGAAGGCAGCUUGCUGCAGCGGAACUGACGCUGAUGCUCGAAAGCGUGGGUAUCGAACAGGAUUAGAUACCCGUGUAGUC
rnacentral:rRNA from 1 species